GACGAACGCUGGCGGCGUGCUUAACACAUGCAAGUCGAGCGGUAAGGCUCCUUCGGGAGUACACGAGCGGCGAACGGGUGAGUAACACGUGAGCAAUCUGCCCUUCACUUUGAGAUAACUUCCGGAAACGGAAGCUAAUACCGAAUACGACCACUUCAGGCAUCUGAUGGUGGUGGAAAGUUCCGGCGGUGAAGGAUGAGCUCGCGGCCUAUCAGCUUGUUGGUGAGGUAACGGCUCACCAAGGCUUCGACGGGUAGCCGGCCUGAGAGGGUGACCGGCCACACUGGGACUGAGACACGGCCCAGACUCCUACGGGAGGCAGCAGUGGGGAAUAUUGGACAAUGGGCGAAAGCCUGAUCCAGCAACGCCGCGUGAGGGAUGACUGCCUUCGGGUUGUAAACCUCUUUCAGCGGGGACGAAGCGAAAGUGACGGUACCCGCGGAAGAAGCACCGGCCAACUACGUGCCAGCCGCCGCGGUAAAAC
rnacentral:rRNA from 1 species